rfam:Syphacia muris strain Valencia genome assembly, scaffold: SMTV_contig0000117
UCCCAUGUGGUGUAGUGGUUAGGAUUAGCGGCUUUCACCCACGCGGCCCGGGUUCGAUUCCCGGCAUGGGAA